GACGAACGCUGGCGGCGUGCCUAAUACAUGCAAGUCGAGCGGACAGAUGGGAGCUUGCUCCCUGAAGUCAGCGGCGGACGGGUGAGUAACACGUGGGCAACCUGCCUGUAAGACUGGGAUAACUUCGGGAAACCGGAGCUAAUACCGGAUAACCCUUUUCCUUUCAUGAGGAAAAGCUGAAAGACGGUUUCGGCUGUCACUUACAGAUGGGCCCGCGGCGCAUUAGCUAGUUGGUGAGGUAACGGCUCACCAAGGCGACGAUGCGUAGCCGACCUGAGAGGGUGAUCGGCCACACUGGGACUGAGACACGGCCCAGACUCCUACGGGAGGCAGCAGUAGGGAAUCUUCCGCAAUGGACGAAAGUCUGACGGAGCAACGCCGCGUGAGUGAUGAAGGCCUUCGGGUCGUAAAGCUCUGUUGUUAGGGAAGAACAAGUAUCGGAGUAACUGCCGGUACCUUGACGGUACCUAACCAGAAAGCCACGGCUAACUACGUG
rnacentral:rRNA from 1 species